UCUCUCCAUAGAUAUGCAUAUAAGUACUCAAAUAUUCUCACAUCUAUUCAUAGAUAUCCAAGUACUCAUAUACUAGCAAAGGAAAUGGCAAACCACUCCAGGAUCUUUGCCAAGGAAACCUCAGAUGGGGUCAUAAAGAGUCAGACAUGACAUGACUGAAACAAGUGAACAACAUUACAGUGCUCACAUAUGCUCUCUAUUCAGAGCUAUCUAUAUAAAAGGAGACCAAAGAAUAUAAAAUUACUCAUGAACAUAGAAUUUGAAUACACAUGCAAUCAUAUAUGACUAGAGAAUAGUACUCACUUAGAUGAAUAUACAUGAAUAAUGUGUGUGUAUACAAAAUCAAUCUAGUGUCAUUAAGAAGACAAAAACAUGAAUGACUGGGGAGUUGGGCAUCUGUUUGUGUCCUGGUCCCCAUGCUCUGUGUUCCCUCUCUCCUUGUCUCAUUUAGGAAAUGAAGCCAUAAAGACCACAUCCAUGAUAGAUUAGAGGGUUGGAGGGAACAGAUAAAAUAGUCCCUGGAGGGCCCAUGAAAGAGGAUAGUGGUAGGGGAACCUCAGGCAGCCUAACAGUGAGUUGAGUACCAGGGCCCAGAUGUAGAGGCCAAUGAGGAUGCUGGGAGUGAACUCCCAGGUGGGAAGCUCUUGCCUCACAAAGGUAGGCAUCGACAUCACAGGUCAAAUAAUAGAACUGCAGGGUAAGCCUUGCCCAGACCCAGUUCAGCUUGGCUGGUGGAUUUGUGAACACCCUGAGACAUGGGAAAGGAAAUCUUCAGGACUAAAGAUGCCAACCAAACUGCCCAAUGUCCAACAGAAACCCGUAUGCUAUGGGGGCAGAUGGCCAUCCCAAGACUCCAGGACCUGCGGCAGAGGGGCUCUCAAGUUCUGCUACAAAGGAGGGGAGGCGCUUCCUCAGCCCAUGGAAUCAUCUUGGAAAUCAUGGAAAUCAUCAUGAAAAUCAUCAUGAUGGCAUCCUUCUGAGAAACAGCCUGCAGAGAAAACAAUGAGGCCAGAAUAGAAAUCGAAUAGUGUGUAAAAAUAAUGUGCGGAAUUUAGGACACCACUUUUCCAGGAACAUAGUAAAAAGCUCAUUGCCACUAUCAGUGGCUACACCUGUAGAUCCCCAAUUCAUUGGAAAAGUGGUUAAGGUUACUAUAAAGAUAAAACAGAGCAGCAACAAAUAUGGCCCAUAUAAUAAAACUUCAUUACAUCAAGAA